GGUUGUUUGGCCGAGCGGUCUAAGGCGCCUGAUUCAAGAAUUCUUAUCUUAACUGUGAUAAAUACGCAGGGAAUACUCAGGUAUCGUAUGAUGCGUGAGUUCGAAUCUCACAGCAACCA
rnacentral:tRNA from 1 species